rnacentral:tRNA from 1 species
AGGGAAUAGUAUAGUGGAAGUACGUGGGGUUUUGAGCCCUGUGGUGCAGGUUCAAGUCCUGUUUUUCUA